rnacentral:rRNA from 1 species
AUUGAACGCUGGCGGCAGGCCUAACACAUGCAAGUCGAGCGGAGCGGCGGACGGGUGAGUACUGCCUAGUAAUCUGCCUGGUAGUGGGGGAUACCGUCCGGAAACGGGCGCUAAUACCGCAUACUAUCAGAUGCGCCUAGGUCGGAUUAGCUAGUUGGUGGGGUAAAGGCUUACCAAGGCGACGAUCCCUAGCUGGUCUGAGAGGAUGACCAGCCACACUGGGACUGAGACACGGUCCAGACUCCGACGGGAGGCAGCAGGGGGGAAUAUUGCAAAAGGGGCGAAAGCCUGAGGGAGCAAUGACGCGUGAAUGAAGAAGGCCUUCGGGUGGUAAAGUACUUUCAGCGGGGAGGCGUUACCCGCAGAAGAAGCACCGGCUAACUCCGUGCCAGCCGCCGCGGUAAUUC